AGGAACUGGGAGUGCUAAACAUGAGCCAGCUGUGCCCAGGUGGCCAAGAAGACCAGUGGCAUUCUGGCUUGGAUCAGCAAUGG